rnacentral:rRNA from 1 species
AAUCAACGCUGGCGGCGUGCCUCAGACAUGCAAGUCGAACGCGAAAGUUCCCUUCGGGGGCAAGUAGAGUGGCGCACGGGUGAGUAACACGUAGGUAAUCUACCUUUGGAUGGGGAAUAACAACCGGAAACGGUUGCUAAUACCGGCAUAAUGCAGCGGCACCUAAUGGUGACAGUUGUUAAAGCGGGGGAUCGAAAGGACCUCGCGUCUGAAGAGGAGCCUGC